rnacentral:rRNA from 1 species
GGAUGAACGCUAGCGGCAGGCUUAACACAUGCAAGUCGAGGGGUAUGGUAGCAAUACCAGAGACCAGCAAACGGGUGCGGAACACGUACAGAAUCUACCUUUGUCUGGGGCAUAGCCCGGAGAAAUCCGGAUUAACUCCCCAUAAUAUACAUGAAAGGCAUCUUUUGAGUAUUAAAAAUUUAUUGGACAGAGAUGACUGUGCGUCCCAUUAGCUAGUUGGUAGGGUAACGGCCUACCAAGGCGACGAUGGGUAGCUGGUGUGAGAGCACGACCAGCCACACGGGCACUGAGACACGGGCCCGACUCCUACGGGAGGCAGCAGUGAGGAAUAUUGGUCAAUGGACGCAAGUCUGAACCAGCCAUGCCGCGUGAAGGAUGAAGGCCUUCUGGGUUGCAAACUUCUUUUACCUGGGAAGAAACCCCGAUUUUCUAAUCGGGUUGACGGUACCAGAGGAAUAAGCACCGGCUAACUCCGUGCCAGCAGCCGCGGUAAUACGGAGGGUGCAAGCGUUAUCCGGAUUUACUGGGUUUAAAGGGUGUGUAGGCGGGUUAUUAAGUCAGUGGUGAAAUCUCCGGGCUCAACCCGGAAACUGCCAUUGAUACUAUUAGUCUUGAAUUUUGUUGAGGUAGGCGAAAUAAGUCAUGUAGCGGUGAAAUGCAUAGAUAUGACUUAGAACACCAAUUGCGAAGGCAGCUUGCUAAACAAAUAUUGACGCUGAGGCACGAAAGCGUGGGGAUCAAACAGGAUUAGAUACCCUGGUAGUCCACGCCCUAAACGAUGAUUACUCGACAUACGCGAUACACAGUGUGUGUCUGAGCGAAAGCAUUAAGUAAUCCACCUGGGAAGUACGACCGCAAGGUUGA